UACGUAGGGUGCGAGCGUUGUCCGGAUUUAUUGGGCGUAAAGGGCUCGUAGGCGGCCUGUCGCGUCGGGAGUGAAAGCCCACUGCUUAACGGUGGGUCUGCUUCCGGUACGGGCGGGCUAGAGUAUGGCAGGGGAGACUGGAAUUCCUGGUGUAGCGGUGGAAUGCGCAGAUAUCAGGAGGAACACCGGUGGCGAAGGCGGGUCUCUGGGCCGGUACUGACGCUGAGGAGCGAAAGCGUGGGGAGCGAACAGG
rnacentral:rRNA from 1 species